rnacentral:rRNA from 1 species
CCUACGGGUGGCUGCAGUGGGGAAUAUUGGACAAUGGGCGAAAGCCUGAUCCAGCCAUGCCGCGUGUGUGAAGAAGGCCUUCGGGUUGUAAAGCACUUUCAGUGGGGAAGAAAGCCUUGGGGCUAAUACCCUCGAGGAAGGACAUCACCCACAGAAGAAGCACCGGCUAACUCCGUGCCAGCAGCCGCGGUAAUACGGAGGGUGCGAGCGUUAAUCGGAAUUACUGGGCGUAAAGCGCGCGUAGGCGGUCUGAUAAGCCGGUUGUGAAAGCCCCGGGCUCAACCUGGGAACGGCAUCCGGAACGGUCAGGCUAGAGUGCAGGAGAGGAAGGUAGAAUUCCCGGUGUAGCGGUGAAAUGCGUAGAGAUCGGGAGGAAUACCAGGGGCGAAGGCGGCCUUCUGGACUGACACUGACGCUGAGGUGCGAAAGCGUGGGUAGCAAACAGGAUUAGAUACCCGUGUAGUC